AGCCUUUCGAAAGAAAGAUUAAUAUCCGAUAGCAUAUAUUUCCCGCAUGGGUUUUAUAUUAAAGAAAUUCGGUAUGAGAUGGGGAUGCGUUCCAUUAGUUUGUUGGCGGGGUAACGGCCCACCAAGACUACGAUGGAUAGGGGUUCUGAGAGGAAGGUCCCCCACAUUGGAACUGAGACACGGUCCAAACUCCUACGGGAGGCAGCAGUGAGGAAUAUUGGUCAAUGGACGAGAGUCUGAACCAGCCAAGUAGCGUGAAGGAUGAAGGCUCUAUGGGUCGUAAACUUCUUUUAUAUAAGAAUAAAGUGCAGUAUGUAUACUGUUUUGUAUGUAUUAUAUGAAUAAGGAUCGGCUAACUCCGUGCCAGCAGCCGCGGUAAUACGGAGGAUCCGAGCGUUAUCCGGAUUUAUUGGGUUUAAAGGGAGCGUAGGUGGACUGGUAAGUCAGUUGUGAAAGUUUGCGGCUCAACCGUAAAAUUGCAGUUGAUACUGUCAGUCUUGAGUACAGUAGAGGUGGGCGGAAUUCGUGGUGUAGCGGUGAAAUGCUUAGAUAUCACGAAGAACUCCGAUUGCGAAGGCAGCACACUGGACUGCAACUGACACUGAUGCUCGAAAGUGUGGGUAU
rnacentral:rRNA from 1 species